rnacentral:rRNA from 1 species
UACGUAGGGUGCGAGCGUUGUCCGGAAUUAUUGGGCGUAAAGAGCUCGUAGGCGGUGUGUCACGUCGUUCGUGAAAACCUGCAGCUUAACUGUGGGCGUGCGGUCGAUACGGGCAUCACUGGAGUUCGGCAGGGGAGACUGGAAUUCCUGGUGUAGCGGUGAAAUGCGCAGAUAUCAGGAGGAACACCCGUGGCUAAGGCGGCUCUCUAGUACGGUACUGACGCUGAGACGCGAAAGCGUGGGGAGCGAACAGG